rnacentral:tRNA from 1 species
GGCGGCGUAGCUCAGUUGGCUAGAGCAUUCGGUUCAUACCCGGAGUGUCAUUGGUUCGAAUCCGAUCGCCGCUACCA